CCGGGUGGCCCGCAGCGCAGACAUCUUAGCGUGGGUGCCGGCGGCCGCGGAGACUCCGGCCGGGGCCGGAGGGGCGGGGCGGGGCGCUGGGGCAGCGGGGCGGUGCCGCGCAGGCCACCCGCUACGCCGAGCUGGGGCCCGGAGGGGUUUAACCCCCGCCAGCGCCGUCCCGCGCCACUGUGGAGAGCCUGGGCCAGGCGCUGUCCCGGUUUCGCGGGGGACGAGAGCGGGGGGGGGAGCUGUACGGCGCGCUCUGCGGCUUGGGCUGAGCAGCAGAGGCUGCCCGGCUCGGCGCAUGGCUGUUGUCUCCCGUCCACCUGCGGAGAACUUCAUUCACUGCGUUUGCUGCUUGCUCCCAAGCCAAGGGAAGGCCCGGGCUGUUGCUGCCGCCGAGUGUUGUAGAGAUUAAGGAAAGAAGGGAAAGAGUGCGUGGAGCCAAGACCGGGAUUCAAAGGCAUUUCUGCUAACUGACAGGAGCAACUGAGAUAAGGGCUUUAUCCCGUGGCACUCCACCAAGCAGAUCCCUCAAGAGGCCAGAGUCCACUCUCCUGAAGCCCAGGGUAGUGAGCUUGCUGCACACCCUCCUUGCCACCCUGAGGAUCUCAAACUCCACCAUUUCAUGGUCCACCUCUCCGGGCUCUGGGCAUCUAUGGUUGGCCCUGGCAUCAAACUGGUAGGAGUGGGAUGGAUUGAGGUUGCCCUCCCUUGACAACUUUAGUUUAAAGACUUUUUCGUGAGCUUGACUGAUUACAACUGUUGCUGUUGAAUUGCAUAAGGUAGAGCUAGCUAUAAAUGGCUGAGGUUAUAGCCCUUUGAGGCAUAUGCAAUGAAAAAAGUAAAGAAAGAGAGAAAACUUGGAGAUCCUGGAAGGAGAAUAAUGGGAUUAAGAAUAUGGGCAUAAGAAGUUGAAGGUUGAGAUUUUCAUCUAACAUUUAAGCGACAAAUGACAAGGCCCUUUAUGACACUGAUUGCUAAAACUCAUUUUGCCACGAAAGUAGCAAGUCUUGCACUAGGUCAGAUCAAAGGUCCAUAGAAUCAUAGAAUCAUAAAAUAGAUAGGGCUUGAAGGGACCUUAAAGCUCAUCCAGUUCCAACCCCCUGCCACGGGCAGGGACACCUUCCACUAGAGCAGGUUGCUCCAAGCCCCUGUGUCCAACCUGGCCUUGAACACUGCCAGGGAUGGGGCAGCCACAGCUUCUCUGGGCAACCUGUGCCAGGGCCUCACCACCCUCACAGUAAAGAACUUCUUCCUUAUAUCUACCCUGAACUUCCCCUGUUUAAGUUUGAACCCAUUACCCCUUGUCCUAUCACUAGAGUCCCUGAUGAAGAGUCCCUCUCUGGCAACCUUAUAGGCCCUCUUCAGAUAUUGGAAGGCUGCUCUGAGGUCUCCACACAGCUUUUCUUCUCCAGGCUGAACAGCCCCAAUGUUCUCAGCCUGUCUUCAUACGGGAGGUGGUCCAGCCCCUUAUCAUCCUUGUGGCCCUCCUCUGAACUUUCUCCAACAGCUCCAUGUCCCUCUUGUGUUGGAGACACCAGAACUGCAGUUGCAAUGAAGAAUGCUUAAGGAAGGGGUCAAGAUCAUAGCAUUUACCAAUAAUGAAGUGAUUUCUUUUUCCUUUCUUUCUUUCAUUUCCCUCCCCCCCCCCCACCCCCCCAUUUUUUUAAUACCCUCUAAAAAUUUUCCAGUUUAGGAAAAAAUUUUAAUACCCUCUAAAAAUUUUCCAGUUUUCCUGAGCUGGAGGUGAUGCUCUGGUACUUCAUAAUGCUUUGUGGAUGUCUCUUCCGUUAACUUGACCAGCUGCUUUUUGAACGUGCUGGGAACCACAGCUUAGUUUCUUACAUUAUGAAGAACCACUUUGGUUUGCUUGUUUUCUAUCUAUCUGCCAUCUACUACCUUAAUUUGUGUCCCUACUGCUUGAAUUGGAAGAGGCACUGGACCGUUGGUCCCUAACCAUCCUCUUUGUGUCAGUGAUUUAAGAGAAAAAUGUUUUGAUGUCCCCAUAGCUAUUUGUUUUCCAAGCUGAAUAAUCCUCUUUGGGUACUUUCUACAAUGUCAUUGUUUUGCGGCAAAAGAGUCAGAAUUAUAAAGUGGCUCAUGUUCUUGCAUAAAGAUGAGAGUAUUAGUUCUGUUUUCCCUUUUUGUUACUUUUUUUUUACUACCUCUGAAUACUGAUAUGAAAAUUUUCAUAUAUUAUCCAUGAUAACAAAAUACAAUUCCUGGGUUGUAAUGGUCAACUCAAAGCUCAUAUUUGUGUAUGACUGUUUCUCUGCACCCCUUGUCUGUGUCAUUUUACAUUUAUCUACCCUGACCUUAUCUGAAAUUAUUUCAGUCCCAUAACCAUCGGCAGCAAAAUUUCCCACUCCAGUGUUCCUCUUGUUUAUCAGAUCAUUGAUGAGUGCCUGGAACAACAACGGUCCUGGCACAUAAGUCUGAGAUUCCCUGGGGGACCCCACCACCAUAACACAGUAUUGUUUAGUCUUGAAAUUUUCUUAAAAGAUUUCUGUAAGGGGGUGUGGAAGUGUCUGCUCCUUUGGGGGUAUCUGGUCAAGAACUUUCUCAAUGCAAAAUGGGAGAACAAGAAAAGAAGGAAGCCAUAAACAAGAACAUAAAGAGGCACAGACCUGACUGUUGAAUGGUUAGGGAGGCAGUGAUGAGAUAUAAACCUGGUCAGUCGCACUAAUUGAUGAGGAGACAUUUAUUUCAGUAGGACUAUCUGAUCAAGGCUCUUGUCAAAUGGGAUAGCAAGAAAAAGUGGGAAGCCAUAAACAAAAUGUGGAGACGCAAACUUGACAGGCAAACAUGACACUGACAAAGACAAGAAACAACCUGGCUCUAAUAAACUAUAGGCAAACUGAGACUUUGCAACUGAUGAGGAUGCAAACCUGAGGGUCCAGAAUGUUGGAAAGGGAUCCCUGGAGCUGUGAAAACUAAUGAAGGAAUGUGCAGGGGAAGGGCAUCUGGAAGAGCAAAGGAGGAAUAGGCAGAAUGGGGUGUAAAAGGGACCAUGGAUGUGCAUGUGCUUGUGCAUCCAGAGAGCCUCAUGUGUGUGCCUGCACCAGUGACCUGUCUCUGCCAGCCCAAGAGGAGCUGCCAGUGCUUGUGUGUGGUGUGGCUCCUGCGUGUAGGUACCGUUGAAAGCAGUGCCUCAUCUGUGGCAGUGCCUGUGACUGGCCAAGUCAGUGUCCCGUGUGGGUCUCUAGGGCACGUGCUCAGCUUCACUGCUGGCUGAUCCUGCACAUGGGAAGGUGGCAGCCACGUCCCCCUUCCUGGACAGGUACACUGGGUCCCCAGGCACCGGCCUGGGCUCCAGCAGCUGGGCAGGGGUCCUGGGCUGGAGCUGCAAGUGGUGACAGCCACUCCUAACACCCCUUAACAUUUUUUAGCCAUAAAAAGACUUCUUUUCUCUCUAUGGUGGCUCAAUUUAUUUAAGACUUUUUGAUGAGGCACCUUGUUUUCAGAAAUGUUUUCAGAAAUCCUAAUAACCUUAAGACCAGCUGUAUUCCCCCAUCUUCACGCCUGCUGACUCCUUAGGAUGUCUCCAGUAGUUCUGUGAGCCCUGACUUCUCUUUACAAAAAACAUACUUCCCAAUAUAUCAUAUAUUCCAAACCUGUCUGCAUGAUUGUAGCUUCCUCUGUUUGCAGCAUGCAGAGGGGAGGUUUGUCAGUCUGCACUUUUCUGGAUUUUCACUAGAAGUAGGUUAAAAAUUUUCAAAAAUGUUUAUCACCUUCAAGUCUUUAUGUGCACAGGACACUUAACGGAAAUACCAGAUCUGCCCUGCAUAUGCUCUUCCUGCUCUUGGCUUUUAAAAAGAGGAUUAUUUUUAGUGUCCGCACUUCUUGCAAAUUAACGCUCAAACUCUUUUUUGGCCUGCCUUAGUGUGCUUUCACAUUUAACCUGCCAACUUGUGUGAUUCUUUAUAUUUUACUCAUUUGAACACAGCUUUGACUUACCAAAAGAUUCCUCCAACUGCCCUUUUCAUUCUGCCUGGACGUGCUGGCUUCCUUUCACCAUUUCUCAGGCCCUUCAGAAAAACAUGAAUAUGCAAAGAUGAUCUGCUAUGUCUCAAAGCGCUGUCUUUACAUAGCAUUCUAUCUACCACAAAUACUCUAACUCAUGUAUUUUUAGCACUAUUCUAACCUAUUGAAUUCUUAUUAUCAAGUUCUUUCUUUUUCUUUUUCUUUUUUUUUUUUAGUGUAUUUUUAAGUUAUUCCUUGGUUCUGAUGGUUAGAACCAAGUCAAAAGAUACUUCUUAUCCUGGAGGAUUCUACACUAACUUCUUAAUAUUAGGUAUGAUUUUAUUCUUUAAAAAAAUCAUAAGAAUCCUAAUUUUAUAUUGGCCUGUAAAUCCUAAUGAAAAGAAAAAAAACCCUUUGCUCGAGUGCACGUUAGGGUUUUUUCUCCCCAGAACUUGGAAGUGCUGAGUUAAGUAAAAGCUUAGCCAUAGCCCAACAUAUAUGGUCUGUUAUAUAUAAGACAUAUGCCAUAUGUUCUGUAUACCAUAUAUGUUAAAUAUAAUGUAUGUUGCAUACAAUACAUAAUAUAAAUGCUGUAUUAUAUAUUCUGUAUAACAUUACAUAUACACAAAAAUAUAUACACACACAAUAGAGGCAACAUAUAGUGUAUGCUGUGUGUUAUAUAUACUACUUAUGAUAUAUGAUAUAUAUAGUGUAUAUAUAUAUUUGUAGGACUGGCUAUAUAAACUCCAUUACCUAUGGCUUUUAUUGUUUAGUUUGCUGAGAUUCCAAUGUCCAUUCUUGAAAGUAGGCUAUAUGCAGAUACACUGCUCUGCACCAAAGGAACAGAGCAGCACUGGGCUGUGGGAUAGUACUGAUGCUUCCUUGAGAAUUCGACUUCAGCUCUGACCAGCAAAUCCCAUCCUGCCCUGCUGUAAGGUUGCCAUGCCUCAUCAGAAUGAGCCAGAAGAUGUUAACCCACCACCCUGCUGCUUACAGAGCUGUCCUACACAGCUUUUCUCCUGUUUGACUCAAUCUCUGACACAAGAAGCUCUUCUUUCUGUAGACCACCACGGAUGCGCAGAAUGCGUUAACCUCUGCCUGGGUAGUAUUCUGAUGAACCGAGGCAGCUGGAAGAAGCAACUACUCAUUUUAAAAGUUAUAAAGACAAAUAAAUCCUCACAAUUGAAGGCACAAGAGGCAUAACUUCCCCCAGUACUUCCAAUACUAGAAGACAAAGCUGCAUAUGUGAACUUCAGUAAGCAUGAAAGCAAUUGGCCUGAACUGAGACCUUUGAGGGGACAGAUAAGGUAUGACGCGUGCCUGAUUUGGUUUCCUUAAACCUAGCAAAGGCAGCUGGCUCUGCAAGACCUGGUGCUGCACUGACUGGAGGAGGCACCCCCCCCCCCACUGCUUCUGACAUAUGUGUGAUUGGUUCAUGUUUCAGUACCACCCUAUUAACAACUUUCAUGAUCUAUGCAUAUUAAUUUAGUCAUAAAUAAAAUAUUUGUUUGCUUUUUUGCUGGUCAUAAGCCAGCUUUUGAAAGAGUACCUUUAUUUGCGGGUACCUUUAUUUGCAAGUACCUUUCCCUCAAAUUGCUCCUGUGUAAACAUGUAAAUGAUGGCCUACAUCUUCUGUCAAGAAUUGCAAGGGGUUACUUUUUUUCAGUACAAGAUUUUGCAUCUUGUGUUGAUGACUUCGUUUGGAUGUAGGGAAACUUGGAUGUUUCCCUAACAAUGGACU